rnacentral:rRNA from 1 species
GAUAAACGCUGGCGGCGCACAUAAGACAUGCAAGUCGAACGGACUUAACUCAUUCUUUUAGAUUGAGAGCGGUUAGUGGCGGACUGGUGAGUAAUACGUAAGCAACCUGCCUAUCAGAGGGGAACAACAGUUAGAAAUGACUGCUAAUACCGCAUAUGCCAUAGGAACCACAUGGUUCUAGUGGGAAAGGAGCAAUCCGCUGAUAGAUGGGCUUACGGCUGAUUAGCUAGUUGGUGGGGUAACGGCCUACCAAGGCGACGAUCAGUAGCCGGACUGAGAGGUUCAACGGCCACAUUGGGACUGAGAUACGGCCCAGACUCCUACGGGAGGCAGCAGUCGGGAAUUUUGCGCAAUGGAGGAAACUCUGACGCAGUGACGCCGCGUGCAGGAAGAAGGUUUUCGGAUUGU